GCGCUCACUUUGGCAGCACAUAUACUAAAAUUGGAACAAAACAGAGAAGAUUAGCGUGGCCCCUGUGCAAGGACAACACACAAAUCCAUGAAGCAUUCCGUAUUAAA
ensembl:snRNA U6 U6 spliceosomal RNA